rnacentral:lncRNA from 1 species
CAUAAGAAAGACACAUUUCUUUGCAUCAAAUAAAAAGACAUCUUUUCAUGAGAAUAACUAAUUUACUAAGGAGACAACCAUUCAUUUGAUUUUUGUUUUAAAUAAUUUUGUCACUUCCAUUAUUAUUUCUAAUAUUAUAAUCUACACUAAUAUUUCCCAACUUUACUAUUUUAUUUUUAUCAAGACACCACUGAAUUACUGUUUUAAUCAAUCUCUACAUUAUAUUGUAGAUUUCUUUUCAUUUGCUACCUUAUAUUUCUUUUCCCUCAAAAAAAUUACUAAACUAUUAUUUUCUUACUA